AGCGUUAAUCUACAAUGUAGUUUCAAGAUGCUGUAUUGUAGGGAGCUAUACAAGGGUUGGGAUAUUUACCACAACUUGAAUAGGUAGUAAUACCGAAAGAAAAUAUCUA
rnacentral:sRNA from 1 species